UCCCGGGCUUCAGCACCA
rnacentral:miRNA from 1 species